UACAGAGGUCUCAAGCGUUGUUCGGAUUCAUUGGGCGUAAAGGGUGCGUAGGCGGCGCGGUAAGUCGGGUGUGAAAUCUCGGAGCUUAACUCCGAAACUGCAUUCGAUACGGGCUAGCUAGAGUGUGGUAGGGGAGAUCGGAAUUCCUGGUGUAGCGGUGAAAUGCGCAGAUAUCAGGAGGAACACCGGUGGCGAAGGCGGCUCACUGGGGCUUUUCUGACGCUGAGGAACGAAAGCCAGGGUAGCGAACGGG
rnacentral:rRNA from 1 species